rnacentral:rRNA from 1 species
GAGUUUGAUCUUGGCUCAGAGCGAACGCUGGCGGCAGGCCUAACACAUGCAAGUCGAACGAACUCUUCGGAGUUAGUGGCGGACGGGUGAGUAACACGUGGGAACGUGCCUUUUGGUUCGGAAUAACUCAGGGAAACUUGUGCUAAUACCGAAUGUGCCCUUCGGGGAAGAUUUAUCGCCAUUAGAGCGGCCCGCGUCUGAUUAGCUAGUUGGUGAGGUAAAGGCUCACCAAGGCGACGAUCAGUAGCUGGUCUGAGAGGAUGAUCAGCCACAUUGGGACUGGGACACGGCCCAAAACUCCUACGGGAGGCAGCAGUGGGGAAUCUUGCGCAAUGGGCGAAAGCCUGACGCAGCCAUGCCGCGUGAAUGAUGAAGGUCUUAGGAUUGUAAAAUUCUUUCUACCGGGACGAUAAUGACGGUACCCGGAGAAGAAGCCCGGCUAACUUCGUGCCAGCAGCCGCAGUAAC